rnacentral:rRNA from 1 species
UCUUGGGAUACUGGAAUUCUAACCUGCGGCCAUGAAUCUGGUCGGGGGACACUGUCAGGUGGGCAGUUUGACUGGGGCGGUCGCCUCCAAAAGAGUAACGGAGGCGCUCAAAGGUUCGUUCAGCACGGACGGAAAUCGUGCACUGAGUGUAAACGCAUAAACGAGCCUAACUGCGAGAAUGACGGUUCGAGCAGUAACGAAAGUUGGAGUUAGUGAUCCGGCGGUAUGUGAAUGGAAAUGCCGUCGCUCAACGGAUAAAAGCUACCCUGGGGAUAACAGGCUGAUCUCCCCCAAGAGUCCACAUCGAC